CAUAGAGGAAUAGGGUGGGUCCGAAUCCAGUGACGACUGUCCUUAGAAGAAGACAGCGUGCAGAGGAAGAGGAGGCAGAUGAGGACCAUGCAGGUUAAGGGCCUCCUUAGACCUCCAGUUCACACCGUCAGCGAGUGCACUUCCCAGAUGCUCUUCUCCCUAGAGAUGGAAAAGCUCAGCAAAACGCCAUCUUCUUGAGGUGCAGAUGGAGAUGAAAGGACCCAUUUCUGAGAGGAUGUGAAUGUGGAGAGAGGAGAAGGAACAGGGCAUAGCACCCGUGGAUUUUGGGGUUCUCUUCCCACUGACAUCAAAUUGCACUCUACAUCAGAUGAACAAGCUGCCUCAGGAAUUAAAAUAACAGCCACAGCGACAGCCCCCAUGCCUAAGGAUAUCCGGAACCAUGCAAAAGUGAAAUCUUGCUCCAUUAUGAAGCCCGUGUGAUUGCCCAUUUACAUCUGUACUGUUCUUUUAAAUACCCUAAUCUGUGUCAUCAGCUCAGCAUUCAACAGGAAAAACAUCUUUGGUCACUGGAUAAAGUCAUCUUAAAAAACAUCUCCCUUGAUUUGAACAUUUGUGAAUGAUUCAGAAAGCUUGGCGUCCACAGUGUGAGGGUGAAUGGCCUUUUGAA